rnacentral:rRNA from 1 species
CCUACGGGUGGCAGCAGUAGGGAAUAUUGCUCAAUGGGGGAAACCCUGAAGCAGCAACGCCGCGUGGAGGAUGAAGGUUUUCGGAUUGUAAACUCCUUUUGUUAGAGAAGAUAAUGACGGUAUCUAACGAAUAAGCACCGUGCAACGCCGGGCCAGCAGCCCCGGUUAUACGGGGGGUGCAAGCGUUACUCGGAAUCAAUGGGCGUAAAGCGGGCGUAGGCGGGAUAGCAAGUCAGGUGUGAAAUCCUAGGGCUUAAACAGAGAACUGCAUUUGAAACUGUUAUUAUUGAGUGUGGGAGAGGUAGGUGGAAUGCUUGGUGUAGGGGUAAAAUGCGUAGAGAUCAAGAGGAAUACUCAUUGCGAAGGCGACCUGCUAGAACGUAACUGACGCUGAUGCGCGAAAGCGUGGGUAGCAAACAGGAUUAGAUACCCGUGUAGUC